rnacentral:lncRNA from 1 species
CGACGUCCCCAGCACCCCGAUCGCUCCCGAGCCGGUGACCUCCAUCGCCGCCGCGGCGUCCUCCACCCGCUCGACCGUCGUGUCCCUAUCCUCCGCGCCGCUGCGUCAGUCCUUCACCAACCUGCGCCGCGCGUUGUCUUUCGACGACGACGUGGACGCGCGUGACGAGCCCGAUCCGACGGAUCUGACGGAUCUGAAUUUGGAUACGGAGAUCGUUCAGCCGGGGAGGUUUCACGCGGUGGCUCUUUGGGAGGUGCUCAAGAGGCUGCCUCCGUCUGGGCUGCUGAUGGCGGCUAGGGUUUGUAAAGGGUGGAGAGAGACCGCGAGGAAGAUGUGGAAAGCGGCGGAGGAGCUGAGGAUUAGGGUUCCGAAGAGGGCUCAGAUUGGUUACGUUGGAUCGUUGUUGCAGAAGUGUCCUGGACUUGUUACUCUGACUCUUAAACUCGAGAGGUGAUUGGAUCUAACUUAGAUCUGUGAUAGUUGUUCAUACUAAUUUGUUAAUAUUAAUGGAUAAUUAACAAGCUCUUAAUGAUCCGGAGACAUUAGUAUUAAUUCGAGUUUCUGAUUGUUGUCUGCAGUGAUUUUGAUGCGACAACUCUGGCAUGCAUUGCUUUUUCUUGUCCUAAUCUGGAGGUUUUGGAGAUUUUAACUUGUGGCGCAGCUGUCAAUAGGAUUUCUGGGUAAGAUCUUGACACUAAGUGGUGACAUGAAGUGAUGAUAAAUCUGAGUAAUUUCAAUAAGAAACAAUGACAAUCGAGUCUUUUAACUGUUUUUUGCUAUGUGAAACUGGUUUGGCCAUUUGAUAUCCUUGCUGUAAAUUCAUUUGUACAAAUCAGUCAUUUUGCAUGUGAUAUACAUAUCAUAGACUUGCUUCUGACUUGAUUUACGGUUUUGAUCGAUUUUAAAACAGUUGUUUGCUCUUCUACGAACCUGUUUUUGAUUGUCCUUAAUGCUAUGCCACACUAGGAUUUGGGCACUUCAUCUCUAUGCUGCAGUCACAAAAUGGAAAUUGUGGCUUCAUGCCAUGUUUAUACAGAGUUUGGGUGACGUUUGCUAUCAUUUCCUCUAAUACUAAGCAGUCAUUUCUCAUUUGAUGCAUCAAAGACUUGCUUCUGAUUAGUUUUGUGUUUUAAUCGAUAGACAGUUGUUUGCUCUUCUAUGAAUCUGGCUUUAGCUGUCUUAAUCUCUAUGCUGCAUACACAAAAUGGAAACCGUGGGUUCUUGCCAUGAAUAUUGAGAUUUUGGUGGUGUUUGUUUUAAUUUAUUUGUAUUAAGCAGCAUCAUAGACUUGCUUCUUAGAGGAUUUAUUGUUUUGAUUUAUUUAUAAUACUUGUUUGCUCUUCUCUGGAUAUGUUUUUAAUUGCUCUUUUUUUUUCGUUGUAUGUAUAGGGAUGAGCUGGGUCGCUUUGUUUCUAAUAAACGUGGACUUACAAGCCUUAAGAUGGAAGGAUGUUCCAACUUGGGAGGAUUUUCCCUUACUUCAACAAGCCUUUCUACUCUUUGGCUUUCAGAUCUUCAUUCUCUCUCGAAGAUGGUAAUUGAAUUUCCUUUUUUUUUAUUUUUCUCUUGCGCCCAAAGUUUGGGAAGAUAAUUUGUAUAUAUAAACCAUCAUAUUACUUUGUUCUAUUUUUUUCAGAUAUUCAACUGUCCAAAUCUUAUAGAAAUCUCACUUGAGUUUUCUCAACAAGAAGGUGAUUCAACUGAUCUUGUAACAAUGGUUGAUGGUUUGGGAAGGACUUGCACUAGAUUGCAGAACAUUCACAUUGCCUCUCUGAAGCUUUCACAUACCGUUGUACUUGCUCUUACUGCUGUGAAUUUCAGGUUUGUCUAAUCUCUCGGUUUUGUUGUAAAAAUCAUAUUUGCGUCUCUCUAGGACUCUUAGUCCAGUGUUCCACUGAGAGAACAGUUGUUUCUUAAGAUCGAUGUCAGUUUCCGUAUCGUACAGGUGUUUGAGAAUGCUGUCGCUAGUUCUUGGAAUAGAUAUCACCGAUGCGUCUGUAGAUGCCAUUUCCUCAAGUUACACAAACCUUGAGCUACUUGAUUUGAGUGGGUAUGUUUUGUUCUUGCUCAAUAUAUCAUAUCUAUAUCUCCUUUGUGCUUGUUCACGUGAAGAGUAUAUGUUGAGGCAUGUUUUUGUUUGUUUGUUGGUUUUUAGUUCCAGCAUUACUGAUACUGGCCUUGGGAUGAUCUGCGAUGUUUUACCUGAUACACUCUCAAAACUACUUGUUGCUCUUUGUCCCAACAUUACAUCAAGUAAAUUCUUGAUCUUUGGUUUGCAAUAUAUAUCUUAGUUCAUGUGUUUAUUCUCUAAUUUCUCAUUUCAUUCUACAAUUAAUAUUCUUGCAGGCGGCAUUCAGUUUGCUACUGCUCAACUACCUCUUCUUGAGCUGAUGGACUGUGGCAUGACUGUAUCUGAUCCCAAUUCAGAUAAUCCGUUGACUCCACAAAAGACAUCAGGCUACAAUCAGAAGAUGUUUAUUAAACAUAAACGGAUGAAGAAACUCAGUUUGUGGGGAUGCUCCAGUUUGGACGUGAGAUUCCUCAUCAAUGCUCCCGAUAAAAGCUCUCUUUAAAACCUGUUUUCUAAUAGUUUUGAUCUUUUGAUUCAGGCUUUGUUCCUAAACUGCCCAGAGCUCAAGGACUUGAAUUUGAACUCGUGCAACAAUUUGCAACCUGAGAGUUUGGUGAUCCAGUGUCCAAAGUUAGAAAUUGUGCACGCAUUAGGAUGUCAAAAGCUAUUAACAGUAGCUAUCCGGAAACAGGUAAAAUCUCUGGACAAGUUACAACUUGUAUAGGGUUUGGUUUUAGUUUUAGACAAACUAAGAUCGAAUAGAGCCAUUUGCAAUUCAGUCUGAUGCAGUAUGUCUAUAAACCAAGAUUAGAUAAUUACAUAUUUUAAUCAUAUAUGAUUAAAGUAUAAAAUGUAAUGAAUUUAUGUUUCGUUUGGCUACAUUAAAUCGAAUUUGGUCUUUUUUUCUCUUCAAAAUUUUGGAUUUUAGAAUCAUAAAUGUAGUAGAUUUGUGGAUCGACUUUGGUUUAAACAUGUUGGCUAGGGUUCUAUUUGAUUUGGUUCGACUUAGUUUAUAUGUCCACUCCUAGAAAUGUGUUAUGUUGCCAUAGAAUGAAUGUCUCUGGUCACAAUCAAACCAAGAGCCUCUUGAUAAGCCUCUUCUUGUAUUUGUUGGAUAGGUUUCUGAGAACUUUGCAGCUGGGGAAAACCAUAUGACACGGAAACGCUUGGCUGAUGGGUCGAAGAGGAUUCAGGCUCCACCUUCGUUAUACCAAGAGGUGAGUUUUUAUCUUAUUAUUAGUACAUUUAUUAUUUUUGUGUGUGAGAAAGAAAGUAACUAAGAGAGUUUGUUGUUUGCAGACAAGAGAAGAUGAUGAGAAUUAUCCAGCGAAGAAGAGAAGGAAGAUUGAGAGGGAAGUGUGUACCAUUAUAGAUUAAUAAAUAAUACUCUGUAUUAAUACUCUCUUGGACUCGUCACAUUUUUUCUUCUACCAGCUCUAUGUUACUGUGAUUAUGUUGGAUUACGUCUGUUGUUGUUUCUCACUUAUGAACUUUACAUGUUUUUAUCUUUUGUUUUCCAAUUAGCUUUGAAUAAAUUGUACAAGUAACAUUUUGUAUUGGAUUUUGAUAUUUAAUAUAUUAAAGAGAAUUUUCUUCUUUUUUUUUGUUCUUUUUUGACUGCAGAGACUUUCUUUCUCAUUUUUUUAGUUUUAGCGACAGUUUUGCAUUUGUUUGUGUGGUACAUUGAAAACAUUUGCAUAAACUAGUCUGUUCUGCACUUUACAACAACUUUUUAGUACUAUUCGUUUUCUAUAUUGUAGUAUCACUUGAAAUAGUGCUAUGAUAAGAAUGGUAAAACUUUUAUCCAGUUACAUUUUCACACAUAUUUUACAUUUAAGCUUGAAAAUGAAAAUUAUUUUUGUCAACGCUUGAAAAUGAUUAUUCAGUAAGUUAUAUAUUCGAUACAUCAAAUUUAAGAAUUUCAUCUACCAAUAAUCCCCUUUUAUAAUUAAAUACAGUAUAAUCAUAUAUUUUUUUUCUUGAUCUAAGUAAGACUAAUACGAGCUUUUCUUAAUACAAAUGCAACGUGACGGCGGCUGAGGCAGUGAACAACUCGUGGCAGGUAGACUUCACCAACUUAUUUCCAUAUAUCCCAACGUGUAAUCGCUGCGACUGCGUUUUAGUAUAUAAAAACACUCUCUUUCUUCCUUCCUCAAACCCAAUCGUAUCUACAACGUUUUUACAACAAUAAUGGCGAUUGCUUUCAAAUCCGGCGUCUGCUUCCUCCACUCCCCAAAACCCCAAUACUGUGUACUCGCGCGAAAACACCAUUUCAUCUCCCGCCGCACCUUCCCUCCUCCUUUUAUCAUCUCUCUCCCUCUCGCAUCUAAUCUCAUCACUCCAAAUCUCUCUCUCUCUCUCUCUCUCUCUCUCUCUCUCUCUCUAUCUCAACGAUGCAGCCUCAGCCGCAUAUACCUCCAGCCACCGCCAACGCAGCGAUCUCAGCGGCCCUUAAAUCUCAACGAUCGAGAAAAAACCGCGGGAGUUACAGUUGCGGACGAUGCGGCCAGCCCAAGAAAGGCCACGUCUGCCAUCUCCCUCCUCUCGACGUCCCCAGCACCCCGAUCGCUCCCGAGCCGGUGACCUCCAUCGCCGCCGCGGCGUCCUCCACCCGCUCGACCGUCGUGUCCCUAUCCUCCGCGCCGCUGCGUCAGUCCUUCACCAACCUGCGCCGCGCGUUGUCUUUCGACGACGACGUGGACGCGCGUGACGAGCCCGAUCCGACGGAUCUGACGGAUCUGAAUUUGGAUACGGAGAUCGUUCAGCCGGGGAGGUUUCACGCGGUGGC